UACGGAGGGUGCAAGCGUUAUCCGGAUUCACUGGGUUUAAAGGGUGCGUAGGCGGGUUGGUAAGUCCGUGGUGAAAUCUCCAAGCUUAACUUGGAAACUGCCGUGGAUACUAUCAAUCUUGAAUAUAGUGGAGGUGAGCGGAAUAUGUCAUGUAGCGGUGAAAUGCUUAGAUAUGACAUAGAACACCGAUAGCGAAGGCAGCUUGCUACACAAUGAUUGACACUGAGGCUCGAAAGCGUGGGGAUCAAACAGG
rnacentral:rRNA from 1 species